rnacentral:misc_RNA from 1 species
CAACCCUCAAGCACUGCUUGGUGUUGGGCCCCGCUGGCAGCGGCGGGCCUUAAAGUCAGUGGCGGUGCCAUCGGGCCCUGAGCGUAGUAAAUCUCCUCGCUACAGGGACUCGGUGGACGCUGGCCAUCAACCCCAACUCUCUCA